GAGGUUGGAGAUGGAGUCCGACUCCUGUAGGAGUCCGGACGAAGUCUUCCUGUUGUCGAGAUUGGAGAUGGAGUCCGGCUCCCGUAGGAGUCCGGACGAAGUCUUCCUGCCGCUGAAGUUGGAGAUGGAGUCCGGCUCCCGUAGGAGUCCGGACGAAGUCUUCCUGCUGCUGUAGGUCAGACGCCGGUAGAAUCUCCGAGGGGUCACUCCUG
rnacentral:lncRNA from 1 species